UCGGGAAUUUUGGGCAAUGGGCGAAAGCCUGACCCAGCAACGCCGCGUGAGGGAUGAAGUAUUUCGGUAUGUAAACCUCGAAAGAAUGGGAAGAAUAAAUGACGGCACCAUUUAUAAGCUCCGGCUAACUACGUGCCAGCAGCCGCGGUAAUACGUAGGGAGCAAGCGUUGUUCGGAUUUACUGGGCGUAAAGGGCGCGUAGGCGGCGCGGUAAGUCACUUGUGAAAUCUCUGAGCUUAACUCAGAACGGCCAAGUGAUACUGCUGUGCUAGAGUGCGGAAGAGGCAACCGGAAUUCUUGGUGUAGCGGUGAAAUGCGUAGAUAUCAAGAGGAACACCUGAGGCGAAGGCGGGUUGCUGGGCCGACACUGACGCUGAUGCGCGAAAGCCAGGGGAGCAAACG
rnacentral:rRNA from 1 species